rnacentral:rRNA from 1 species
GACGAACCGAGCGAACGUUAUUCGGAAUCACUGGGCUUAAAGGGUGCGUAGGCGGGCUGUCAAGUCUGGGGUGAAAUCCGGCAGCUUAACUGUCGAACUGCCUUAGAUACUGAUGGCCUCGAGGGAGGUAGGGGCAUGCGGAACUGUAGGUGGAGCGGUGAAAUGCGUUGAUAUCUACAGGAACUCCGGUGGCGAAAGCGGCGUGCUGGACCUCUUCUGACGCUGAGGAGCGAAAGCCAGGGGAGCAAACGGG